rnacentral:rRNA from 1 species
AUAUCAGCUAGUUGGUGUGGUAAUGGCGCACCAAGGCUAAGACGUCUAGGCGGAUUGAGAGAUCGACCGCCAACAUUGGGACUGAGAUACUGCCCAGACUCCUACGGGAGGCUGCAGUCGAGAAUCUUUUGCAAUGGGCGAAAGCCUGACAAAGCGACGCCGUGUGAGUGAUGAAGGCCUUCGGGUUGUAAAGCUCUUUCGCUUGGGAACAAGAAAGGUUGGCUAAUAUCCAGCCGAUUUGAGGGUACCAGAUAAAGAAGCACCGGCUAACUCCGUGCCAGCAGCUGCGGUAAUACGGAGGGUGCAAGCAUUAAUCGGAUUUAUUGGGCGUAAAGGGCGCGUAGGCUGAGAUGAAAGUCAUGUGUGAAAUCCCGGGGCUCAACCUCGGAACAGCACGUGAAACUCCAUUUCUAGAGGGAUGGCGGAGAAAACGGAAUUCCACAAGUAGCGGUGAAAUGCGUAGAUAUGUGGAGGAACACCAGUGGCGAAGGCGGUUUUCUAGCUAUUUCCUGACGCUGAUGCGCGAAAGCAAGGGGAUCAAACAGGAUUAGAUACCCUGGUAGUCCUUGCCGUAAACGAUGUAUACUUGGUGUAGGUGGAAUCAACCCCACUUGUGCCGUAGCUAACGCGAUAAGUAUACGGCCUGGGUAGUACAGUCGCAAGGCUGAAACUCAAAAGAAUUGACGGGGACCCGCACAAGCAGUGGAGCAUGUGGUUUAAUUCGAUGCAACGCGAAGAACCUUACCCAGUCUUGACAUGCACAGGAAGAUAGCAGAAAUGUUAUCGCCCUUCGGGGUCUGUGCACAGGUGCUGCAUGGCUGUCGUCAGCUCGUGCCGUGAGGUGUUUGGUUAAGUCCAGCAACGAGCGCAACCCUUAUCAUUAGUUGCCAACAUUUAAGGUGGGAACUCUAGUGAGACUGCCUGGGUUAACCAGGAGGAAGGUGAGGAUGACGUCAAGUCCGCAUGGCCCUUAUGACUGGGGCCACACACGUGCUACAAUGGUCGGUACAGAAGGCAGCGAAACCGCGAGGUGAAGCAAAUCCCCAAAGCCGAUCUCAGUUCAGAUUGGAGUCUGCAACUCGACUCCAUGAAGUUGGAAUUGCUAGUAAUGGCAGGUCAGCCACACUGCCGUGAAUACGUUCCCGGGUCUUGUACACACCGCCCGUCACAUCAUGGGAGUUGGUUUUACCCGAAGCCGCUGGCUUAACCGUAAGGAAAGAGGCGUCUAAGGUAAGGCCGAUGACUGGGAUGAAGUCGAAACAAGGUA